UACGUAGGUGGCAAGCGAUACUCGGAAUAACUAGGCGUAAAGCGCAGGUAGGCGGCUCGAUAAGUCUCUUGUGAAAGCUCCCGGCUCAACUGGGAGAGGUCAAGGGAAACUGUUGGGCUAGAGUGUGGUAGAGGAAGCUGGAAUUCCCGGUGUAGCGGUGGAAUGCGUAGAGAUCCGGAAGAACACCGGUGGCGAAGGCGGCCUGCUGGGCUAUGGCUGACACUGAGGCGCGACAGCGUGGGGAGCAAACAGG
rnacentral:rRNA from 1 species